rnacentral:rRNA from 1 species
AGUGAACGCUGGCGGUAGGCCUAACACAUGCAAGUCGAACGGCAGCACAGUAAGAGCUUGCUCUUACGGGUGGCGAGUGGCGGACGGGUGAGGAAUACAUCGGAAUCUACUUUUUCGUGGGGGAUAACGUAGGGAAACUUAUGCUAAUACCGCAUACGAUCUACGGGUGAAAGCAAGGGAUCUUCGGACUUUGCGCGAUUGAAUGAGCCGAUGUCGGAUUAGCUAGUUGGCGGGGUAAAGGCCCACCAAGGCGACGAUCCGUAGCUGGUCUGAGAGGAUGAUCAGCCACACUGGAACUGAGACACGGUCCAGACUCCUACGGGAGGCAGCAGUAGGGAAUAUUGGACAAUGGGCGCAAGCCUGAUCCAGCCACACCGCGUGGGUGAAGAAGGCCUUCGGGUUGUAAAGCCCUUUUAUUGGGAAAGAAAAGCAGCAGAUUAAUACCCCGCUGUUCUGACGGUACCCAAAGAAUAAGCACCGGCUAACUUCGUG